CCUACGGGAGGCAGCAGUGAGGAAUAUUGGUCAAUGGACGAGAGUCUGAACCAGCCAAGUAGCGUGAAGGAUGACUGCCCUAUGGGUUGUAAACUUCUUUUAUAUGGGAAUAAAAUGUUCCACGUGUGGGAUUUUGUAUGUACCAUAUGAAUAAGGAUCGGCUAACUCCGUGCCAGCAGCCGCGGUAAUACGGAGGAUCCGAGCGUUAUCCGGAUUUAUUGGGUUUAAAGGGAGCGUAGGUGGGUUGUUAAGUCAGUUGUGAAAGUUUGCGGCUCAACCGUAAAAUUGCAGUUGAAACUGGCAGUCUUGAGGACAGUAGAGGUGGGCGGAAUUCGUGGUGGAGCGGUGAAAUGCUUAGAUAUCACGAAGAACUCCGAUUGCGAAGGCAGUUCACUGGACUGCAACUGACACUGAGGCUCGAAAGUGUGGGUAUCAAACAGGAUUAGAUACCCGUGUAGUC
rnacentral:rRNA from 1 species